CUGGGUGGAGCCAAGAGGGGAAACGAAACAGAUGCAGCCACAAUGGAGCUGGUAGGAGCAUUCACAAAACCGGGUAAAAUAAGCUAAUCACUCAAAGUGAGAAAUGGAGCAGAAAAAGAUGGCAGCUAUGAAUCAGAGCCCAUCUAGAGAAGUGCCCCAGAGAGGGCUGGCAGAUUCAGAUCUUAGCACAGUGAUGUCCAAAAUGACAAUUAAUAAACACCAAGCCGAUCCUGAGUGUGAGAACAUAACACCGACUUCACCUGUAUCGAGCUGUGUGUCAAUGAAAAGUGACCAUUCAAUGAACCCUCCACUGAAGUUUCAGGAAGAAUCAUCAAGCAUUCCCGGGGGAAAACCACUUUCGCCUGUACCGAGCUGUCUGUCAAUGAAAAGUGAUAAUUCAAUGAACCCUCCACUGAAAUUUCAAAGUGAAACAUCACAAGUGCACAGGGGAAAACAAGCUUCGCCCGUACCGAGCUGUCUGUCAAUGAAAAGUGAUAAUUCAAUGAACCCUCCACUGAAAUUUCAAAGUGAAACAUCACAAGUGCACAGGGGAAAACAAGCUUCGCCUAUACCGAGCUGUCUGUCAAUGAAAAGUGAUAAUUCAAUGAACCCUCCACUGAAAUUUCAAAGUGAAACAUCACAAGUGCACAGGUAAGACUCUGAUAUAUAGUGAAUACAUAUGUACAAAGCUGUCACAGCUAAUUACAGCUGCAUGUAUGAAAAUGACCCCUGAAAUACACCAGCAGCAUUAGAUACAUGAUCAUAUUCUGUCAAGUACAACAUGCAGUGUAGCUCAUGCCCGCUGCCCAGCUUCUACACACAUUAGCAUGUAUAUUUUGUGCAAACAAAUAUGCUCUUUAAAUAAAAUUUCAAAGUCAAAUUCAUUAUUUUAUCAGCAGAUCUUUAAAAAUAAUUUACAAAUGAAAAAAUGCUGCGUACAUAAGUAUUUACCCCCUUUAGACUAGUACUUGUCAGAACCACCU
ensembl:lncRNA